AAUCCUGGCUCAGGAUGAACGCUGGCGGCAUGCCUAAGACAUGCAAGUCGAACGAGAUGGCCCAGUGAAGGUUGCGUGCUUGCACAAGGCUGAAUCUGGAUUCCCAUCUAGUGGCAGACGGGUGAGUAACACGUGGGUGACCUACCUUUUCGUUGGGGAUAACAGUUGGAAACGAUUGCUAAUACCGAAUAAAAUGUAAGAGUCAAUUUUACAUUGAAAGGAGCCUUUAAAGCUUCGCGAUUAGA
rnacentral:rRNA from 1 species